AACGAACGCUGGCGGCAUGCCUAACACAUGCAAGUCGAACGAGACCUUCGGGUCUAGUGGCGCACGGGUGCGUAACGCGUGGGAACCUUCCCUUAUGUUCGGAAUAACUCCCCGAAAUGGGUGCUAAUACCGGAUAAUGUCUUCGGACCAAAGAUUUAUCGCCUUUGGAUGGGCCCGCGUUGGAUUAGCUCGUUGGUAGGGUAAAAGCCUACCACGGCGACGAUCCAUAGCUGGUCUGAGAGGAUGAUCAGCCACACUGGGACUGAGACACAGCCCAGAAUACUACGGGAAGCAGCAGUGGGGAAUAUUGGACAAUGGGCGAAAGGCUGAUCCAGCAAUGCCGCGUGAGUGAUGAAGGCCUUAGGGUUGUAAAGCUCUUUUACCCGGGAUGAUAAUGACAGUACCGGGAGAAUAAGCUCCGGCUAACUCCGUG
rnacentral:rRNA from 1 species